rnacentral:rRNA from 1 species
UACGUAGGGUGCGAGCGUUAAUCGGAAUUACUGGGCGUAAAGCGUGCGCAGGCGGUUUUGUAAGCCAGAUGUGAAAUCCCCGGGCUUAACCUGGGAACUGCAUUUGGGACUGCAAGGCUUGAGUACGGCAGAGGGGGGUAGAAUUCCUGGUGUAGCAGUGAAAUGCGUAGAGAUCGGGAGGAACACCUGUGGCGAAGGCGGCCCCCCUGGGCCGGCCCUGACACUGAGACGCGAAGGCGUGGGGAGCGAACGGG